rnacentral:rRNA from 1 species
CCCGGUAGUAUUUCCGGUGAGGUCACACCUGUUCCCAUUCCGAACACAGAAGUUAAGCUCACCAGGGCCGAUGGUACUUGUUCCCAAUUCGGAAUCGGAAGAGUAGGUCACUGCCGGGU